AAGGCAGGCAGAACUGCUGCAGCUCACGCUCUACAGAAUCCGGAUUUACCUAUAGGGCAGGAAGCAAUUACUAAAUUCUGUCCCAGGUUGCCUGCUUUUCCAGGAAAGGAGUCCAUCAGAGCAACCACCAUGGUUUAUCCAGGAAGGCUUCAAUCUCACAGGAAGGAAAGCUGCACUUACUCAGAAUCAUUGCAACCAAGUCAAGAUUGAAACGACAGAGAUACAGACUCAAAUCUGCAAGUCAGUUUUGGAACUAUAUUCAUUGAGAAGCUUUUACGUCUCAUCACAUACCAAAACUUGCAAAAAUUGCACACCCAGAAACAAAACAGUGGACUUCUGUGAAGCAGAAGCAAAUUAUUACAUGGAAAGCAGAAGCACCUGUUACAUUCCUACCAGAAAUACAUAAGCAAAAUUUCAUAAAUGUUUUAAUAAACUAACCAACCUUU